rnacentral:misc_RNA from 1 species
CGAAAUGCGAUAAGUAAUGUGAAUUGCAGAAUUCAGUGAAUCAUCGAAUCUUUGAACGCACCUUGUGCUCCUUGGUAUUCCUUGGAGCAUGCCUGUUUGAGUAUCAUGAAAUCUUCAAAGUAAAUCUUUUGUUAACUCAAUUGGUUUCUACUUUGGUAUUGGAGGUCUUUGCAGCUUCACACCUGCUCCUCUUUGUUCAUUAGCUGGAUCUCAGUGUUAUGCUUGGUUCCACUCGGCGUGAUAAGUUAUCUAUCGCUGAGGACACUGUAAAAGGUGGCCAAGGUAAAUGCAGAUGAACCGCUUCUAAUAGUCCAUUGACUUGGACAAUACUUUUAUGAUCUGAUCUCAAAUCAGGUAGGACUACCCGCUGAACUUAAGC